rnacentral:tRNA from 1 species
GUUCCCGUGGUGUAGUGGUUAUCACGUGCGCCUCACACGCGCAAGGUCCCCGGUUCGAUCCCGGGCGGGAGGGACA